AUGCAGGGGGAGCGCGCGAGCCUCUCUGUUCGGCUAGCGGGUCUUUGGGAAAGAACAAGGGUUCACCCCUUAAAGGCCAAAGGCAAAGAAAAUGCGAGGGAUGUGGCCUGGGGCCAUUAUCUCUUUAACCGAGCACCUAACUUUCUCAGCCGUUUUUUGUUGUUUGUUUUUUUUUCCUGCUUUUUUGUUUGUUUCUUAAAUCCUAGCACAUUGCUUCUUUCCCUUGCUGCACUAGGUACUGGAAAUAGAGCGGUGAGCAACACACCUCUCCUGUUCCCGCUGUUCCCGCCAGCCCAGUGGAUGGAGCCCAGAAUCCACACUCCUGCCAGGAAAGAAAAAAAAAUUCCUGAUGGUUGGUCCAAGCAGGGCCUCCCUGGUGGAUUGAGGAAUGCCUGGCUUUUCCUCAGCUCCUUGAUCUCCGAGGUAACCACUGGCAGCCUCCAGAAGACCCCCACGAUGAGAGGCCUGGGGUCUGCAGGUCACUGCUAGAAUAUUUUAAAGAAUGCAGCACGACACAGAUUUGUAAGGUAAAUACUGUAGUCCAGGUAGUUACCUUGGUAGAACACUGACGGUUGGAAUUCCCAUCCAUUUUUCACUUCAGCAUUUUGAGAAAUGCUUUCGGAAUGACGGACUGUUGCAUAUAUUGGGCUAGUUGUUUGAUCUGUAUUUUGACAAGACGUCGAAGUUAAGCUGCCAAUCCACAGAGGAGGAACAGCCCCUUUAAAACAGUAUGCUGAAAGAAAGACUAGUUUUUAAAGGGCCGAUAAGUUUAACUCUACUGUGGUGUAACAUAAAAUACACACUCUUAAUUUUAAACGUACAAUUCCGCUAAAAUUGGCAAACAUAUGUAUAUAUCUAGAUAAUUAACACCGUAGUCAGCAUGCAGAACGUGCUGCCCCAGAUUUUUCUCCUGUCCUUAGGCUCUCAGUUAACUUUAUACUUCUGUUGCUACACGUUUCCCAGAAGUGUGGAACAGAUAAAGACGAAUGUGUAUUUCUAAUCUCAAACCCUAACGCUGGCAAAGGGAUAGAUAGCUAGAAGACCACGGCUAGGACUGAAGAUUCUGGAGACAUGACCCCACGCAUGUUUCCGAGGCUUCCCAGGACCUGUCCUUUGAGACGUGGGAGGGUGAUGUCGGGGGGGGGGGGGGAGGUGGCCGCCAAGAGAUGCCUGCUCCCGGUGGAUGAGGAGUGUGGGUCUCCGGCUGGUCCAAGAGGUCUUCUCUUGUCCUUCUGGUUCCGCAGGUCCCUGGGCGCAUGCUGAACGCGCGUGGGCGGACACGCCCUGUGCUCCAGGUCCGGGCUGGGCGCUGCCAUAGCAACGUCCUGGACGCCCAGAUCUUAGGCCGCCGCCGCCGCCGCAGCGGGGGUCUGGGCCUUCACCGGCUCACGAGGGGUGUGGCGGCGGCGGCCCCGAGGCGGCCCGGGCCGGGUAGACUACACUGCCCCGCCCCUCCAGCGCAAGCCUAGGCGGCGGACUGGCUUGCAAG
rnacentral:lncRNA from 1 species